ACCCCUGUAGCUCAGUGGUAGAGCAGGCGGCUCUUAACCGUCGGGUCCUCGGUUCGAACCCGAGUGGGGGUAC
rnacentral:tRNA from 1 species